GACGAACGCUGGCGGCGUGCUUAACACAUGCCAGUCGAACGGAAAGGCCCUGCUUUUGUGGGGUGCUCGAGUGGCGAACGGGUGAGUAACACGGGAGUAACCUGCCCUUGACUUUGGGAUAACUUCAGGAAACUGGGGCUAAUACCGGAUAGGAGCUCCUGCGGCAUGGUGGGGGUUGGAAAGUUUCGGCGGUUGGGGAUGGACUCGCGGCUUAUCAGCUUGUUGGUGGGGUAGUGGCUUACCAAGGCUUUGACGGGUAGCCGGCCUGAGAGGGUGACCGGCCACAUUGGGACUGAGAUACGGCCCAGACUCCUACGGGAGGAAGCAGUGGGGAAUAUUGCACAAUGGGCGGAAGCCUGAUGCAGCAACGCCGCGUGCGGGAUGACGGCCUUCGGGUUGUAAACCGCUUUCGCCUGUGACGAAGCGUGAGUGACGGUAAUGGGUAAAGAAGCACCGGCUAACUACGUG
rnacentral:rRNA from 1 species